rnacentral:lncRNA from 1 species
ACAACGUCGAAAGCAGCCGUUGGGAGCCCAGGAGGCGGGGCGCCUGUGGGAGCCGUGGAGGGAACUUUCCCAGUCCCCGAGGCGGAUCCGGUGUUGCAUCCUUGGAGCGAGCUGAGAGCUCGAGUACAGAACCUGCUAAGGCCAUCAAACCUAUUGAUCGGAAGUCAGUCCAUCAGAUUUGCUCUGGGCCGGUGGUACCGAGUCUAAGCACUGCGGUGAAGGAGUUAGUAGAAAACAGUCUGGAUGCUGGUGCCACUAAUAUUGAUCUAAAGCUUAAGGACUAUGGAGUGGAUCUCAUUGAAGUUUCAGGCAAUGGAUGUGGGGUAGAAGAAGAAAACUUCGAAGGCUUAAGACUCCUAGAAGUACCCCACCCCACCCCUGCUCCUUGGAGGACAACGUGAUCACUGUAUUCAGCUCUGUCAAGAAUGGUCCAGGUUCUUCUAGAUGAUCUGCACAAAUGGCUCCUCUCCUCCUUCCUGAUGUCUGCCAUUAGCACUGGAAUAAAGUUCCUGCUGAAAAUCCA